rnacentral:rRNA from 1 species
GAUGAACGCUGGCGGCGUGCCUAACACAUGCAAGUCGAGCGAACGGACGAGAAGCUUGCUUCUCUGAUGUUAGCGGCGGACGGGUGAGUAACACGUGGAUAACCUACCUAUCAGACUGGUAUAACUUCGGGAAACCGGAGCUAAUACCGGAUAAUAUUUUGAACCGCAUGGUUCAAAAGUGAAAGACGGUCUUGCUGUCACUUAUAGAUGGAUCCGCGCUGCAUUAGCUAGUUGGUAGGUUAACGGCUUACCAAGGCAACGAUGCAUAGCCGACCUGAGAGGGUGAUAGGCCACACUGGAACUGAGACACGGUCCAGACUCCUGCGGGACGCAGCAGUAGGGUAUCUGCCGCAGUAGGCGAAAACCUGACGGAGCAACGCCGCGUGAGUGAUGGAGGUCUUCGGAUCGUAAAGCUCUGUUAUUAGGGAAGAACAUAUGUGUAAGUAACUGUGCACAUCUUGACGGUACCUGAUCAGAAAGCCACGGCUAACUACGUG